rnacentral:rRNA from 1 species
AUACGGAGGGUCCGAGCGUUAAUCGGAAUUACUGGGCGUAAAGCGCGCGUAGGCGGAUAUUUAAGUCAGAUGUGAAAUCCCUGGGCUCAACCUAGGAACUGCAUUUGAAACUGGAUAUCUAGAGUAUGGUAGAGGUGAGUGGAAUUUCAGGUGUAGCGGUGAAAUGCGUAGAGAUCUGGAGGAACAUCAGUGGCGAAGGCGACUCACUGGGCCAUUACUGACGCUGAGGUGCGAAAGCGUGGGUAGCAAACAGGAUUAGAAACCCUAGUAGUCC